AAUUCUCAACCUGUCUUGACUUUUUUGUAAGUUCAAGUCAGGCUUGGAUCAUGGAAGUUGCUGGUUUUUGAAUCAGCUCUGCUUAAAUACAUCAGUAUAAUUAUUUCUGGUCAUCAAUGGUAUGAUAAAUAUCUAUAUCAUUGAAUGUUAUCUAAAAAUAUUUUGCUUCCAACUGUCUUCAUAAUUGAGACAAUAUGAC
rnacentral:misc_RNA from 1 species